GGGUGGUGGUACCUACCCGUGCGGACUCACAAGAGAUCCUGCCACCAGUAAAAAUGCUACUUGCCUCGAACCAUCGCUUUCCACGGGACUACUCCUCAAAUGUCGUGACAUUUUCAAAUCGGUUGGCUAUCCCUAUAGGACUGGCAGCGGAAUGGCUUUACUACGAGCCGGACCGAGAGCUUGUCUGUAUGCUUAAAACAAAUUACAACCUUAAAUAACAAAAAACAAGAAGCUGGCCUUGAUUGGCUCGUCCGUUUGGUACUCGUGCCGCGGAGAGCCGUGGUUGGCUGGUCUCCGAGGAGGCGUCUGCGCACGCUCGCCAUUGGCUUUUAUACCUUUAUUGAUCUUAUUACACUCAAAUAUGGCAUUGUCUUUUCUGUCACGCAAAAUAAAGUCUUAUAUUGUUUGUUUAAA